CAGCCGCCGCGGUAAUACGAAGGGGGCUAGCGUUGUUCGGAAUUACUGGGCGUAAAGGGCGCGUAGGCGGCCAUUCAAGUUAGAUGUGAAAGCCCUGGGCUCAACCUAGGAAUUGCAUUUGAUACUGUUUGGCUUGAGUUCGGGAGAGGUGAGUGGAAUUCCCAGUGUAGAGGUGAAAUUCGUAGAUAUUGGGAAGAACACCAGUGGCGAAGGCGGCUCACUGGACCGACACUGACGCUGAGGCGCGAAAGCGUGGGGAGCAAACAGGAUUAGAUACCCGCGUAGUCCCUGUCUCUUAUAC
rnacentral:rRNA from 1 species